rnacentral:tRNA from 1 species
GGAGGGCAAUCACAUCCGGUGGUGUGGCCGGACUUCAAAUCCGGAUGGGGACGGCAGCCGUUCCUAGGUGGGUUCGACUCCCACUGCCCUCCGCCA